UUUGCUAUAGUGCACAUUCUUUGCAACAGCAAUUUAGAUCCUGCUGCACCAAGGACCGCACGGUGUGUCGUGCCCGUCUGUCACUCGAGGUCGGCACCCAGCUCCAUCCUGUACCCCUUGCCUGCUGAACCGUCCCAGCGCCAGGCUUGGAUUGACUUUGUGCGUGGGUGCCCCUGUGGUGGUGCCUGUGACUGGAACCCACCGUCCAAUGAGAUCAGCUUGGUGUGCUCACUGCACUUCAGUGUUCGCUGCUUCCGGUUCCAGAGACCACGUGGCUACAGUGUGGGCUAUAGCAAGCGUCUAAGAAGGGAUGCAGUGCCAACGCUGUACCCAAUUGAAGAGCAGUGCAGUUCAGUGCCCAAUGAGAGUUUUCCUGAUGACACUGCAGAACGUUUGGCUUCCUCUGGUGUCGAAGAUGCAGAAGGCAGGGCACGCAAUUCAUUGGCUUCCAGCCGGUCAGUUCCAGCACAGGGAAACCGUGGAAGUGACC
rnacentral:lncRNA from 1 species